AGGCCAGCCGGCGCCAUUUUGAAAGAGGAGUCGCUUGCUCCUGCUGCCGCUGCCGCAGCCGCAGGAAGCGCACGAGCGGGAGAGCCCCAGAGUGAAAUCUAGCAUCCUGCCGGCUGGUCUGCCUGCCCCCCCUUCCUUUUCCCCCGGCCCCCGUCGCCUCCCCCAGUAGGUGCCAUCCGCCGCCAUCCGCCCUUUCUAACCCCCCAUCCCCAGGUGAGGGGGGUGAGUUCAGGAAGCGGAGACCCCGAGGAACCCAGCAGCGUCACCAUUUGCAGCGCAACAUGGCAGGAGCUGGAGGAGGGAGUGAUGUUCAGUGGUGUUUUUCUCAGGUGAAAGGAGCAGUAGAUGAUGAUGUAGCAGAAGGCUGGAAGACAAUGGCGCGGUCUUGGCUCACUGCAACCUCUGCCUCCUGGGUUCAAGCAAUUCACCUGCCUCAACCUCCCAAGUAACUGGGAUUACAGGCACCCACCACCAAGACUGGCUAAUUUCACAUCAAUGUUUUGACCCAUGAGAUUGGUUUAAAAAAAAAGACAAACGUCUGACAACACACUCAGUUGGCAGGUUGGGGACACACACUUCUUCUGUGGGAGUGAAGACUGGUAUACCCCAACUGGAGGGUGAUUUGGCAAUGUAUAUCAAAAUAACAAAUGAAUUUACCCUAUGACCCAGCAACCUUCACUGGCAAUUUGAGCUGCAAUUAUAUCUGCACCCAUAUGAAACAAUGUACAUACACAGUUAUUGAUUUUAGCAGUAUUUGUCAUUGUAAACAAUUGGAAACAAUCAUGCAUUCGUCUGUAGAGGAUUGAGUAAAUAAAUGUUGGCAUACCCAGAUAUUGAAAUACUGAGCAGCUGUAAAAGAGAAAAUGCCCUAGGUACUAACAAAAGCAAAGAAAAAGUGUCCUAAUUACUGUACUGUAAAAUGAAGAUGUAUUAAGUAAAAGACAAAAGCAAAAUGCAGGACAAUGUAUAUAAUGUGCUAUCUUUUGUGUAUUAAAAAAGAUUGGGAGAAAUAAAAAUAUAAAUUCAUAUUCACUGACAUUUGCAUAAAUAAAUUCUGAACAGACACUCAAAAAAACGGUAAUAAAAGUGGUGCACUGAGAAGAGAGAAUGGGGCAAUUGGCAAGGUUGUUGAUGUGAAGCGAUGAUUACAAGUGUUCUCAGUGUGCUAGAAAUCUGAGGCUUAGCUGACCAGAUCCUUUCGCCUUCAGAGGGGUGCUUGCUUCUAUUCAGUAGAAUUUGAAUUGAUUGCCAGGUGGUGCUGCCUGUUAUCUGCACCUGCUGCAAGGUGGCAGCACUGCUAAGGGCCAAAAAAAAUAAAACGAAGGUCUCAGGUGGCCUGAUAAUUAGGAGAGAUGUCAUUUGAAGCAAUUAGUGCUCAUCUAAGAAAAAUUGGAGGUGACUGUGAGUGUAACCGUGAAAACAUGUUUUUCUGAAUUGAGUCACUUUAUUUCAUGGUUUUAUGGUGCCCUGCACUAAAUCCCAGAGUGCCUGACUAGUCCGUUUGUGUCUGUGUUUGAACCAUAAAAAUAAAAGGGGCAAACUUUUGGUAUUGGGGAACAAGUUAAAAUGCAGAUUCUCUGGCCCUACCUCCAGAUGUAUUGAUUGGAUCUGGAAUGUGGCCCAGAUAUCAGCAUUUUAAACAAACAUUGCAAGUACAGUAACUGUAGCAAAGUUAUCUUUUGAUUACCUCUUGGACCUCACUUGGAAAACACUGAGAUAGAAUAGAUAGUGGUAAUCUGGGCAGACUUAUGAAAGUAAAUUUUCCAAAUUGUCUUUGGCAAAAUUAUUUUCUAGUCACUAGUUGAGUGUUUCUGAGUGACAUUUACAAUGAGAUAUUUUUCUGAAGUGAGAUUUCCCAUUUUCUCUUUUUAUAUAGCACAUGUUAAUUUAUGCUUAUCUGUCUAGAAACUUCAUUUUAGAUUUUUUCAUUUACCACUAAUUAUGUGUAAUUAAUGUUUUAUAAUUUCACCUGUAUUUUUAAAAUCCUUGUGUAGAGAUGGGGACUUACUAUGUUGUUAGGCUGAUCUUCAACUCCUGGCCUCCAGCGAUCCUCUUACUUUGGCUUCCCAGGUGCUGGGAUUACAGGUGUGAGCCACUGUGCCUGGACUGCCCCUGUACUUUUAAUUUCAUUAUAUCCAAAUGAAUAUAAAUAUAGUUUGACAGUUAAAGAUUUGUGAAUAUUUGAAGUAGCAUUGUGCCAAACAGUCUUCCAAGUGAAUAUAUUUGGUUUUUGUUGCCAGCAGUACUUUUUCUUUUUUUCUUUUUUUUUUGAGAUAGUGUCUCACUCGGUUGGCCAGGCUGGAGUGCAGUGGCAUGUGUUGGCUCACUGCAACCUCUGCCUCACAGGUUCAAGCAAUUCUCUCUGCCUCAGCUUCCCAAGUAGCUGGGAUAACAGGUGCUUGCCACCGUGCCUGGCUAAUUUUUGUGUGUGUGUGUGUGUGUUUUGUUUUUUAGUAGAGACAGGGUUUUGCCAUGUUGGCCGGGCUGGUCUUGAACUCCUGAUCUAAGGUGAUCCGCCUGCCUCGGCCUCCCAAAGUGCUGGGAUUACAGGCAUGAGCCACCGCGCCCAGGCCGCCAGCAGUACUUUCUACUGUGCUGUUUUUUUUUUUUUUUUUCUUGAGACGGAGUCUCGCUCUGUGUCGCCCAGACUGGAGUGCAGUGGCGCCAUCUUGGCUCACUGCAGCCUCCACCUCCUGGGUUCCAGUGACUCUUCUGUCUCAGCCUCCCGAGUAACUGGGACUACAGGUGUGUGCCACCACACCCGGCUAAUUUUGUAUUUUUUAGUAGAGAUGGGGUUUCACCAUGUUGGCCAGGCUGGUCUCGAACUCCUGACCUCAGGUAAUCCACCCAUCUUGGCCUCCCAAAGUGCUGGGAUUACAGGCGUGAGCCACCGUGCCUGGCCUGAUCAUCUUUUAGAUAGUACUUUAAUCUAUAACAUGGUUACACGUACAUUAUCUCAUUUUAUUGAUACAUCUCUCUGAAGUGGGACCAUUGAGGUAAUUGAAGUUCAAAGAACUUAAAUGUCUUAAUUGAGUGAGUGACUUUACAGUGGAGCCCUAAUGUGGAACCCCUUCUGGUCUAUACAGUAUGUUGGCAUUUUCAGUUCUCUCUAGUAUAGAAAAGGAGAAGGAAAAUAGGAAAAUCAAAAAGUGGAAUUCAGCCAGUUCUUUGACUUCAUCCAUAUAAUAAAUUGGUAGAAAACUGAUAAAGGGAAGAAUUAGGAUUUUUGAAAACUAUCUCUGUUCACAAGAAAUCAAAGUCAUUUAAGGAGAUACAUAUUUUAAAUGUUAUCUCCUUCCAAAAUAAAAGCAGAAAAAUAUUUUUGAGAACACAAAAUGAUACACGUUUGUAUAUAUCAUGCCCCAUUAUCGUAUAAAUGAAAUGUAAAUAUACUUUGGUAAAGCACUGGAAACUAAAGGCAUAGUGCGUACAAGUGAUAUAACAAUCUUCUUUUAAAAAGUAAUUUCAAUUAGAUAUAUGUAAGUUUUUCUAAAUGCAUUUCUGAGGUGGCAUAAAAUUGAGGAAUGCACAGAGCCCCUCAAUAUAUGAAAAGCCAGAAACUUAGAACUCAAAUAGUGCUAUACCAGUCCGUUACUCUGAGGGUUUCUCCUAAACCCUAAAGAUCUUGAGCUACUUUAACAGUUGCAUGGAGUACAGUGGGCAAGAAAUAACCCCAUGUCUGCCCAGUGAGAGGAAACUAAUAGGAGGCUCCACCAUAAUUCAUUUCUCAUUUACCCUUAUAUUGAGGAUGUAGCUGUUUGGAGCCUGGAUUUCAAACAAUUACAUCCUCAGUAUAAGGGUAAAUGAGAAAUGAAACCGAUUUUAAGUAAGGGGAAUAAAAGAAACUUGCUGGGAGAAACAGGGAAGAAACUUUGAGAAUUUGUAACCAUGAGGCAGUCCUCACACAGGUUUGCAAGCCAAAUAUUUAUUCUGGGAAAAUUCAUAGCAGUCCCAGAUUUGUAUGCCCUAGGUUACCAAUAAAAGCAAAUAUCCAUCACCUCUGGAAGAAUUUAUUUUCAACUCAAACCUUAAAAAAUUAUUGAAGAUAAAGUGCCAAGGAGAAUAAACAGUUAGCAGUAAAAUAUCACAAAACACACAAGGAAACAGGGCACCACGAAUCAGAUACUAGACACAACAGAAACAAACACGUAAUGACCUUAGGUUCUGAAAUUAUCAGAUAGAUAAUUUAAUAUCACUAUGUUUAAUGUGUUCAAAUAAAAAGAAACUUGAAGUAUAAAAGGGAAAAAAUUUUAAAGAGUGGCCAAAAAGAUUUUAAUAAUAAUGAAUCAGAAGUUCUAGAACUGAAUUUAAAACUCAGUGGAUGGAUUAAAUAGCUGAUCAUAUCCAGCUGAAGAAAUGAUUAUUGAAUUAGGCAACCAUUUCGUGUCUUUUUUCUUUCUCCUUAAUCCUCCAUCACCUUUUCAUCUAUCCUUACUCUCAGUUCAUACCUUACUAAAAUUGGGAGCAAUCAGAAGAGAAAUUCCAUAGAGUAACCCACAUCUAUCCAUUUACUAGUCUCUGUACCCACAUAUUUUGACUUCCUGUUGGUUACCGUUGAUGAACCCUGUGCUUUUAUCAAAGGCAGUCCCUUCACUUGUAUGUUAGGUCUCAUUCCUUCUUUCCCACUCACGGACAUGGCUCCAGUAAUCUUCUCUUUCUUUCCUGGAUCAUCAGUUUUUCUUUCUCAAAUGCAAUUUUACUGUCAUCUUGUAUUAGUCCAUUCUUUUUUUUUUUUUUUCCUGGAGUAGAGUCUCACUCUGUCACCCAGGCGGGAGAGCAGUGGCUCAGUCUCAGCUCACUGCAACCUCUGUCUCCCAGGCUCAAGCCGUUCUUAUGCCUCAGCCUCCCAAAUAGCUGGGAUUACAAGCUCCUGCCACAAUGCCCAGCUAAUUUUUGUAUUUUUAGCAGAGAUGGGGUUUUGCCAUGUUGGCCAGGCUGGUCUCAAAUUCCUGACCUCAAGUGAUCUGCCUGCCUUGGCCUCCCAAAGUGCUGGGAUUACAGGCAUGAGCCACUGUGCCUGGCUUAGUCCAUUCUUGUAUUGCUGUAAAGAACUACCUGAGACUGGGUAAUUUUUAAAGAAAAGAGAUUUAAUUGACUCACAGCUGUACAGGAAGCAUGGCUGGGGAGGCCUCAGGAAACUUACAAUCGGGGAAGUGCUGCACACUUUUAAACAACCAGAUCUCAUGAGAACUCACUAUCAGGAGAACAGCAAGGGGGAAGUCUGUCCCCAUGAUUCAAACACCUCCCACCAGCCGAGAUCAUGCCACUGCACUCCAGCCUGGGCCACAGAGUGAGACUCUGUCUCAAAUUAAAAAAAAAAAAAAAAAAAAGCAUGAAGUUCCUAAAUAAAGGCUCUCAUCAUUUUUAACAGAUAUAACUUUAUCUGCUUACCUAACUCUGGAGGGAAUACAAGACCUACCUAUAUCAUUUAACAUGCUAACAACAAAGGUUUAUAUCCUUGGGCCCAUCAGUCACAACUUUUCAGAUUUCAGUUAAAGAUGAGCAAUCUGAAAUAGCAAAAAAUCCAAUCUCCAAACUGAGCUGAACCAAAGCUAACUAGAAUAAUUCUUCCUAAGAUUACUAGUAUGUAGUGACUCAGACAUAGGAAAUCACCAAACAAUGAAAAAACGGCUUAGAAGCCACUGUGCUCCCACCCGCAAGUUUUAAUAACAAAAGAAAAGAAAAUCUCAUUUAAUUACAUAAAGUUUUUCUCAUGACAACCUUGUUGAUAUGUAUGAAGUAUGCCGGGAAGAAAUUUUUUUUUUUAAUAGUAGAUAUUUAAUAAAAAUGUAAACAUUAUAGAAUAAAUUUAUUAAAGGACUCCUAGUGCUUUUAUUAUUUAGGGUUACUUAUACUAACCCUACUUCCAAAAGACUCAGCAAAACUUGAGUCCUGAUAAAUCCAGCUUUUCAAUUACAAACAAAUUACUCAACACAUUUGGCCUUCUCUUGCGCCCUCUUCUGGAUAAAAACUGUUCCUCUUUAGGUUUGUGAGUAAUGUAUUACCAAAGCCUACCUCCACAUGUUACAGACAAAUUUCAAAAAUAUUGUAAUGUUUUCUUGGUUAUUACCAUUAUGCAUGUUAAAGCAACAGUAUUGUGACCAAACCAUACACUCGCCCCAAAUUGUUUACAUUCUGUCAAAACUGCUAAUUCCAGUUUCCUCCUCUUUAUCCACCCCUUCCAAGAUAAGAAAUAUUUGGAGGAAUACCACCUUGAAUGGUUCAGGGGUUGCUUCUUUAUGUAGAGAGAAGUCCGGCAAGAGUAUAUUAACCUGACCGAUGAGAUACAAUGUUUCAAUCUCAACACUAUUGCCUUAUGCAGCCAUAAUAUGGUAGUAUUUUCUCAUCUUUUGAACAAGAUGUAAUGCUAAAAAAUCUAGUUAUAUAGUCCCUAACAGUUUUUAAACUGUUCCAAAUCUUUAGGAUUAAACACCUAAGUCGUGUGUAUGUGUUCACUUCUAUUGCAUACUAUCGGGUCCCUACGAAGUCCCAAAAUGGAAAAUCUAACAUUCUAAUUUCAGUCUUCAAGUUACAAUCUGCAAUAAAAAAGCACUUAGUUUUUCUCCAGCUCUCAACAAUUCCUUCUAUCAAAUUUGAUACGCUGGGUUUAAGAUACGCUUUCUUAGGCUGGGCGCGGUGGCUCACGCUUGUAAUCCCAGCACUUUGGGAGGCCGAGGCGGGCGGAUCACGAGGUCAGGAGAUCGAGACCAUGGUGAAAACCCGUCUCUACUAAAAAUACAAA